CUAGGAUACAGCAGCAUGGUGUGGAGGCUCCGUACGGCUGGGCGAUUGCAGAAUGUCUUAGGAGGGCGCUGGUAUUCAUGUUUCCUGUACACCUUCCGUGACAUCUGCUAAGAGUUAGUGGACAUCAGCUAGAAGUUUAGCUUCAGAAAAGAUAUCAAUCCAGAAAGCACUAAAGAAACAGAGACCCAAAGGAUUACGGCCAUCGCUUUAUGCGCCUUAGGACCUUUGCAGUUAAAAGUGAAGGAUUUACCAGCCUCCGGCAGCCUCACUAACCUGCACUGGGAUAACAGGGACCAGCGUAGAAGUCUUCUACCAUCUCCAAUUUUUCAGUUAACACUACAGUAAACGGUUGUACCACCAUAAAAGGUACUGGUGUCACGACUAUAAGGGACCUUGCCAUAGACACAUUAAUACAGACUACCAAGGGCACCUCGGACCACCAUCUGGCCUGUGUCCCUUACACCGGAGUGUGCCCCAGAGAAUUCCUGUGCCGUUCUCUUCAUCACUUGUGCAGCCCUGCCCAGGGAUAACAUAACCUGGGACACAAGGAUUAGAGCCUGAAAUCAAAAACGAAUGUGGUCCUGCAUCAUCUUUGCAAUCUUCAGAGGGAGCAUCUGAGGGGCUGUAUCAGCUGUUUAACAGAGCCAGGACUGGCAAGUUCAGCAGUCUUCAGGGGCUGCCCAAGUCAACAACAACAGGUAUGGAAAGAAACUGCUUUCUGUGACCUGCCUGCCACCCAACAAGAAAAGCUUUGCUGCUUGUACUACGGAUGUCCAGGGGUGGACAUCAAAGGUAAUCGUCUACCCAAGACUUCUUGACCAACCAGCAGGGCUGAUGCAAUGACCUGCAGACCAGUGAGGGGAGGAGGUCCCAGUGUCAAAGCUCCUCCCACAGACAAGGUUAUGGACUGUUUUACAACCACUGAAAAGAGGCUCUGAAACCCACACUUAGGAUUGUGAUUACACCUAAAUAACCCCUUCAGAUUAACACAAGAAAAUAAGGAGGGUUAAGAGGCUGAACUUUAUAAAGAACUGGAAACCACAUAUGUGUUGCUGUACAGUGCACAGAAAAAUGGACUUUGCACCAGGGACUUUUUUUAUCCAAGAAGAUCAGACAUGAAGAAGACCACAGUGGCACACUUCUUGUUAGUUCAAGAGAGUUUUUUUAUUUAUGUAUUUUUUAAUAGAAAUCCAAUAGUUCCUGAGUGGUUUUCUGUCAAAUGACUAGGCUAUAUAUGUAGAAAAGGUCCUGUUAGUUGCUGAAAAUAAUUAAAGUGGAAGAACCAGGGGUGGAAUGUAUUGUAAGGGUAAGUUUAAGUAGUGAUUGGUUCUGUCCCCUUUAAUUUUGUCUUUUAUAUUACUUUCAGUAUUCUAUGUAAGGAUAUUCCUUGUAAUGUAGUACCCUUUAGGAAUGUAAUGUUAUCAACAAAUAUCUCCUUGUGGCCCUUGCUAGUUUGAGGUGCGUUUCCCUCACUAAAAAUUAAAAUAA